rnacentral:rRNA from 1 species
UACGGAGGGUGCAAACGUUGCUCGGAAUCAUUGGGCGUAAAGCGCACGUAGGCGGCUCUUUAAGUCGGAGGUGAAAUCCUGGAGCUCAACUCCAGAACUGCCUUCGAUACUGAAGAGCUCGAGUCCGGGAGAGGUGAGUACGAACUGCGAGUGUAGAGGUGAAAUUCGUAGAUAUUCGCAAGAACACCAGUGGCGAAGGCGGCUCACUGGCCCGGUACUGACGCUGACGGUGCGAAAGCGUGGGGAGCAAGCAGG